rnacentral:lncRNA from 1 species
GCUUCACACGUAUCCUGUGCCACCUUGUCACCGGUCUGGCCAUGCUGCAGGCACGUGUAGUCUCUUGAUUGCUUAACAAUUCAGCAACCAUGGCAGGAAGAAUUUCCUUUGUGUUGCCUUGCCCAGAAACUGAAGAAUAGGUGGGCAUGGAGCUCAUCCCUGGCUGAUGAUGCAGUUGACCUGAGAACAAGGCUGUGCAGGAACCACCCCAGGGGCUGCAGAGUCAGCCGCACACAGAAUACUGCAUGACUAGGGUCUGUCGACUGGUUCAGUGUCUGGGUUCGAUUCCCGGCUCGGUCCACAUGUGGAUUGGGUUUUCAGUCCCUACCCGAUUCCGUUGGUUUUACCCGGAAUAUUCCUCUGGGGUUUUCUUCCCACCUCUAAACCUAGUACAAGAUGUAUACAUGUAGGUCUACCUUGAUGGAGCCAAUCCAAUUGGCCUCUCCAGCAACCACCCCUUUUGUGACUACCAGGAUGUUAACCUCUGUGACAUCAAGGAGCUCCAUCCAACACUGAUGCCUGACAGUAAUGCGACAUGACUGAGUAUCCUGACUUGUCAUCCUCUCUGCCUGCAGUACUAGUGAAUGUCCAGACGCUGACACCACAUGGCUGCUGUUGUAAUCACAACACAUCACUGAAAUAUACACAGCAAGGGUUCUGGAAAAUUUUCGGAAGGGGCAUUGAAAUCUGGGAUUUCGUAUACAGAUCAGUCCGUUGACUAGAGAUGUUUGAAACCAUCCAUCAUUCAGUGGUCUGCCAUCUUGAAGAAUCAAGUUUCUUGAUGAGUGUGGGUAAAAACAUCGGCGAUGCUGAAGCAGUUCCUGUCUGCUGUGGUAUUAUGUGGGAUUUCCCUUAACAAUCCUAGGAAACACAAGCAGCGGGCUACAACACUCAAAGAUUAGUGCAAGCAAAAUAGUGUACAGAUUACCUUGAGAUGGAAAACAUGGUUUAAGGCUUUUGCCUUAUUUGGAACAGUUUUAGGCUUUUUGGAACAGGGAACAGAGGUUUCUUGUUAAAGAUGCACAACUUCUUUUUAUACAAAACCCCAUAUUACACCCCUGCUAUUACGGGUGUAUUGUUGUCUCUAGAGAAAGCAUACUGUAAGUAACUAUCUGAGUAAAUUAAAAUUACAAAGUUAUAGACAAGAUGUGCACUCAAGUGUAGAAAUUUCAAAAAUAUCCAUCAUAUUGUUCAUGCUUGUGCAAAGUAAACUGUGAUAUCAGAACCUUAAAUUAUUGAGGAAACUAGAAAAAUUAAAUUAUGUUGUACCUUUUUACUGCUUUUCAUUUUAUUUCUAAAUUUUUGAGAUUUUAUGCAUAGCUUUUGUCAGAUUGUAGAAGCUUCUUAUUCAAAACAAGCAGGUAUCUGUAAUGUGGCUAAUGCCCAACAUACUCCCAGAAAGUUUAUAGGAAGAUAGAGGCUUACUAUCAACCUUUCUUAUAAAUGUCCUAAAAAGUUCAAACUUUGAAGAAUCUUAAAUAUAGAAAGGCUUGCAAAUAUUUUGGAAACAUAACAUACUGAAGUACAUGCAAGGUCUGAAUAUUUUGUCUAAUCCUUGUCUUUUGGCA